rnacentral:rRNA from 1 species
AUGAACGCUGGCGGCGUGCCUAAUACAUGCAAGUCGAGCGAACGGACGAGAAGCUUGCUUUUCUGAUGUUAGCGACGGACGGGUGAGUAACACGUGGAUAACCUACCUAUAAGACUGGGAUAACUUCGGGAAACCGGAGCUAAUACCGGAUAAUAUUUUGAACCGCAUGGUUCAAAAGUGAAAGACGGUCUUGCUGUCACUUAUAGAUGGAUCCGCGCUGCAUUAGCUAGUUGGUAAGGUAACGGCUUACCAAGGCAACGAUGCAUAGCCGACCUGAGAGGGUGAUCGGCCACACUGGAACUGAGACACGGUCCAGACUCCUACGGGAGGCAGCAGUAGGGAAUCUUCCGCAAUGGGCGAAAGCCUGACGGAGCAACGCCGCGUGAGUGAUGAAGGUCUUCGGAUCGUAAAACUCUGUUAUUAGGGAAGAACAUAUGUGUAAGUAACUGUGCACAUCUUGACGGUACCUAAUCAGAAAGCCACGGCUAACUACGUG